AUUGAACGCUGGCGGCAGGCCUAACACAUGCAAGUCGAGCGGAUGAAGGGAGCUUGCUCCUGGAUUCAGCGGCGGACGGGUGAGUAAUGCCUAGGAAUCUGCCUGGUAGUGGGGGAUAACGUCCGGAAACGGGCGCUAAUACCGCAUACGUCCUGAGGGAGAAAGUGGGGGAUCUUCGGACCUCACGCUAUCAGAUGAGCCUAGGUCGGAUUAGCUAGUUGGUGGGGUAAAGGCCUACCAAGGCGACGAUCCGUAACUGGUCUGAGAGGAUGAUCAGUCACACUGGAACUGAGACACGGUCCAGACUCCUACAGGAGGCAGCAGUGGAGAAUAUUGGACAAUGGGCGAAAGCCUGAUCCAGCCAUGCCGCGUGUGUGAAGAAGGUCUUCGGAUUGUAAAGCACUUUAGGUUGGGAGGAAGGGCAGUAAGUUAAUACCUUGCUGUUUUGACGUUACCAACAGAAUAAGCACCGGCUAACUUCGUG
rnacentral:rRNA from 1 species